CUGGCGGCGUGCCUAACACAUGUAAGUCGAACGGGGAUUUGUUUCGGCAGAAUCCUAGUGGCGAACGGGUGAGUAACGCGUAGGCAACCUGCCCUCCGGCCGGGGACAACACUCCGAAAGGGGUGCUAAUACCGGAUACGAAGUCUGUGCCGCAUGGUACGGAUUUGAAAGAUGGCCUCUAUUUAUAAGCUAUCGCCGGGGGAUGGGCCUGCGUCCGAUUAGCUGGUUGGUGGGGUAACGGCCUACCAAGGCGACGAUCGGUAGCCGGUCUGAGAGGUUGAACGGCCACAUUGGGACUGAGAUACGGCCCAGACUCCUACGGGAGGCAGCAGUGGGGAAUAUUGGGCAAUGGGCGAAAGCCUCGACCCAGCAACGCCGCGUGGAGGAAGAAGGUCUUCGGAUUGUAAACUUCUUUUAUGAGGGACGAAGGACGUGACGGUACCUCAUGAAUAAGCCACGGCUAACUACGUGCCAGCCGCCGC
rnacentral:rRNA from 1 species